GGUGAACGCUGGCGGCGUGCCUAAUACAUGCAAGUCGAGCGAACGGACGAGAAGCUUGCUUCUCUGAUGUUAGCGGCGGACGGGUGAGUAACACGUGGAUAACCUACCUAUAGGACUGGGAUAACUUCGGGAAACCGGAGCUAAUACCGGAUAAUAUUUUGAACCGCAUGGUUCAAAAGUGAAAGACGGUCUUGCUGUCACUUAUAGAUGGAUCCGCGCUGCAUUAGCUAGUUGGUAAGGUAACGGCUUACCAAGGCAACGAUGCAUAGCCGACCUGAGAGGGUGAUCGGCCACACUGGAACUGAGACACGGUCCAGACUCCUACGGGAGGCAGCAGUAGGGAAUCUUCCGCAAUGGGCGAAAGCCUGACGGAGCAACGCCGCGUGAGUGAUGAAGGUCUUCGGAUCGUAAAACUCUGUUAUUAGGGAAGAACAUAUGUGUAAGUAACUGUGCACAUCUUGACGGUACCUAAUCAGAAAGCCACGGCUAACUACGUG
rnacentral:rRNA from 1 species